AGCUUGCUCCCUGAUGUUAGCGGCGGACGGGUGAGUAACACGUGGGUAACCUGCCUGUAAGACUGGGAUAACUCCGGGAAACCGGGGCUAAUACCGGAUGCUUGUUUGAACCGCAUGGUUCAAACAUAAAAGGUGGCUUCGGCUACCACUUACAGAUGGACCCGCGGCGCAUUAGCUAGUUGGUGAGGUAAUGGCUCACCAAGGCAACGAUGCGUAGCCGACCUGAGAGGGUGAUCGGCCACACUGGGACUGAGACACGGCCCAGACUCCUACGGGAGGCAGCAGUAGGGAAUCUUCCGCAAUGGACGAAAGUCUGACGGAGCAACGCCGCGUGAGUGAUGAAGGUUUUCGGAUCGUAAAGCUCUGUUGUUAGGGAAGAACAAGUACCGUUCGAAUAGGGCGGUACCUUGACGGUACCUAACCAGAAAGCCACGGCUAACUACGUGCCAGCAGCCGCGGUAAUACGUAGGUGGCAAGCGUUGUCCGGAAUUAUUGGGCGUAAAGGGCUCGCAGGCGGUUCCUUAAGUCUGAUGUGAAAGCCCCCGGCUCAACCGGGGAGGGUCAUUGGAAACUGGGGAACUUGAGUGCAGAAGAGGAGAGUGGAAUUCCACGUGUAGCGGUGAAAUGCGUAGAGAUGUGGAGGAACACCAGUGGCGAAGGCGACUCUCUGGUCUGUAACUGACGCUGAGGAGCGAAAGCGUGGGGAGCGAACAGGAUUAGAUACCCUGGUAGUCCACGCCGUAAACGAUGAGUGCUAAGUGUUAGGGGUUUUCCGCCCCUUAGUGCUGCAGCUAACGCAUUAAGCACUCCGCCUGGGGAGUACGGUCGCAAGACUGAAACUCAAAGGAAUUGACGGGGGCCCGCACAAG
rnacentral:rRNA from 1 species